UGGGGAAUAUUGGACAAUGGGCGCAAGCCUGAUCCAGCCAUGCCGCGUGAGUGAUGAAGGCCCUAGGGUUGUAAAGCUCUUUCACCGGGGAAGAUAAUGACGUUAACCGGAGAAGAAGCCCCGGCUAACUUCGUGCCAGCAGCCGCGGUAAUACGAAGGGGGCUAGCGUUGUUCGGAUUUACUGGGCGUAAAGCGCACGUAGGCGGACUUUUAAGUCAGGGGUGAAAUCCCGGGGCUCAACCCCGGAACUGCCUUUGAUACUGGAAGUCUUGAGUAUGGUAGAGGUGAGUGGAAUUCCAAGUGUAGAGGUGAAAUUCGUAGAUAUUCGGAGGAACACCAGUGGCGAAGGCGGCUCACUGGACCAUUACUGACGCUGAGGUGCGAAAGCGUGGGGAGCAAACAGG
rnacentral:rRNA from 1 species